ACGGCCCGCGAAUUGCUGGUUGUGCCAUUAAUUAAUUCAACGCUUAAAAAAGGCGCAACCCUGUUUUCCCUGGUGUUGGCGCAGUAUUCGCGCACCCCGGCCUGGCC
rnacentral:sRNA from 1 species